CUGAGCUCCACAAAAUUGUAACGGAGGUUCAAAUGCACAGCAAAAAGCAUUCCAAAUCAUGCAAGAAAGGAAAUGUGCAAUGCAGAUUUGGAUUUCCCAAACUACCCAUGGACCGCACCAGAAUCACAGUCCCUCUCUUAUUCGACUUUGAAAAUGAUUGUGAUGAAAAAGCUAAGCAAUCCAGACAAAAGGAUGGCCAGAAGAAGUCCAGAAAAUCUAAGCCAAUAAUCAUCUCAAACCAACAAAGAGAAGCAAAGAGGAAGCUGAAAUCAAUAAGGGAUUUGCUCAUGGAUCAAAAAUCUUCUUUCAAGGAUUUGUCAGAAUUACUCCAGGCUUGUAAGAUGACCAAAGAAGAAUACAACCACUAUGUGGAUGCUCUGACUUCUGGAAUGGUAGUGAUGAUGAAGCGUGAUCCCAAAGACAGCUGGGUGAAUGGAUACAACCCGGAUCUCCUGCGUGCUUGGAAUGCUAACAUGGACAUUCAGUAUGUGAUCGAUGAGUACAGCUGUAUUGAGUACAUGAUGUCCUACAUAGCCAAGCCAGAGCAUGAAAUGGCGCAGUUCCUCAAAUCCGUUGUGGAGGAUCUAAAGAAGUCCGAUGUCAACCAACGGGACGAGAUGAAAAAGAUCAUGCAGGCCUAUUCAAAACAGAGAGAAGUUAGCGCUCAAGAGUCAGUAGCCCGUACAUGUAGUCUACCCCUUAAAAAGUCAUCACGCAGUGUCAUUUUUAUCCAAACUGAUGAAGACUGUGUGAAAAUGAGCCUUCCCAUGAGCAAACUGAUAAACAUGGCCCCAGAUGAAGAGAAUGUUUGGAUGACAGGAUUGCCUGAAAAAUAUCUCAACAGACCUGAAACGUUACAAUUUCAACACAUGUGCCUGGCGGAAUUUGUGUCGGAAUACAGGGUCCUUUAUGGAAAACAAAUUGAAGGACCAAAUGCAAUCCCCCUCCUAAAUGAUGCCGGAUACAUCCAGAAGAGAACAAUGGGCAAACCAGCAGUUAUCAGAUUUACCCGUUUCUCAGAGAAGAAAACACCAGAAAAGUUUUACAGACGGCUUCUGAAGUUGUACUUUCCACACAGAAGAGAUGAGGACCUGAAAAAUGAGGAACACACAACUUACAAAGCCUUUUACGACAAUGGACUCUGUGGUAGCUGGCAAGUUAAACAGUACGUUGAGUGGAACCGCAAAAGAUACGAAGGUGAAGGAAAGAAAAUCGACAAGAUUAUGGAAGAACUGACAAAGCAAGGACCGGUUCGCAAUGCUUGGAACACUUUUGCUCCUGAAGUUGAAUUGGACCGUUUGGAAUGCGUAGCGGAGCGACCCUCAAUCGAUGAAAAUGAAGAACAAGACCCUGUCCCAGAAUACCAAGUUGAUGUCAACAGUGGAGCCAUGCCAGCAAUCCAAAUACCCAAAUUGAGCCCUGAUUUUAUUAGACAAAUGUACCGUAGUUUAAAUGAGACUCAAGCUUCCAUGUUUUACGCCAUUCGCCAUUGGUGUCUGCAACGUGUCUGGGGUCAAAAUCCAGACCCGUUCUUUUAUUUUUUGACUGGAGGGGCGGGCUGUGGCAAGUUUCCUGUUAUCAAAUGUGUUUACCAGGAAGCAACCAAGCUCUUGCGCCAGCUUCCCAGAUUUCGCGAUAUUGGUGAUAUGUCUCAGCCCACGGUACUCCUCACAGCUUUUACUGGAACUGCAGCUUACAACAUCUCAGGCAAGACUUUACAUUCAGUUUUGAAGCUACCCAAAAGCUUAAAGCCACCAUACAAAGGACUUGGAAAUACACUGGAUGAAGUGAGAGCCGUUCUUUCCAAUGUAGAAAUCUUAAUCAUUGAUGAAAUCUCCAUGAUCUCCAAAGACUUGUUUUCAUAUGUCCACUGGAGAUUUCAACAAAUCAAGGGAAACACAAGACCAUUUGGAGGGAUUUCUGUUUUGGCUGUGGGAGAUUUCUACCAGCUGCCACCAGUGGGAGGAGCAAAACCUCUUUGUGUCACUGAGGCCGGCGUCCUUGAUAUCUGGAACGAAAAUUUCCACAUGGUCAGUCUGACGGAAAUCAUGUGACAGAAAGACGACAGAGCAUUUGCGGAGCUCCUGAACCGGAUUAGAGUUAAAGGGAAAGCAGAUUUACUCAGCGACGGCGACAGAUCUCUCUUAACACAAACUAUUACCGACCCCAAAGAGUGUCCAAUGGACGUGCUGCAUGUUUUUGCGACAAACAAAGAGGUGGACGCUCACAAUGCAGCAGUUGUGGCUUCUUUAUCAACAGUAAUAGUUGAUGUUCAGGCAGAGGACUACAAGAGGGAUACAAAAACAGGAAACAUGACAAAUCUAGGUAGCUGCGUCAAAGCCAAGAAACGAGAUUUGCCUGACAAUCUACAGGUCGGAUUGGGAAUCAGAGUCAUGAUCAUAAGAAACCUGAACGUAGAGGAUGGUCUUGUCAAUGGAACCUUUGGCACUAUUGCAGAUAUCAUCACCAGGACUAAAGAUGGAAACAGAACCGUGAAGUUAAUAGGACUGAAACUGGAUAGUCCCACAGCUGGCCACACCAAAAAAAUCAAAGGGAAACCAGACAACUUUGUUUACAUCGAGAGAUUUGAGGAACAAACCAGCAUAAAAGGAGUUGUUCGACAUCAGUUUCCAAUCAAGUUGGCGUUUGGAUGUACAGCACACAAAGUACAAGGGAUGACCAUGAAGUCUGCAGUUGUUUCUUUGAAGAGAGUUUUUGAACACGGAAUGGCAUACGUCGCCCUCAGUCGCACAACUUCUCUCGAAGGACUUAAAAUCAUUGAUUUGGAUGAGAAUAAGAUCUACGCCGAUGAAAAUAUCAGAGCAGCUAUGGAUUCAAUGAGAACAGCAUCGUUCUCAAACGCCAGACCGCUCUUGAAUUUUCAAUCACGUCAUCAAAGUGCAACUUUAAGAAUUAUUCAUCACAACGUCGAAGGUCUCAUCUCUCAUUCUGAGGACAUGAAACACCAUCAUGAACUCAGAUUGGCAGAUAUUUUAUGCCUUACCGAGACUCAUUUAUUUGGAUCUUCUGCUCCAGCUUGUUGCCAAAUGGAGGGUUAUUGUUUCUUUUCACGCAACAGACAUGUUUCUUAUUCCAACCGAGUGGACAUGUCUACCAAAGAGGGGGGAGGAGUCGCCACUUACUGCAGGAGUCUUCUACAACCCCAGGAGCGGAGAUACUUUCACAAUGUUACCGAUCUUGAAUACAACGUUGUGAAAGUGGAUGCGCCGAUCACAGCCCUCAUUGCCACGGUUUACAGGCCACCAAGUUAUGAUCUAGCUACGUUUUUGACAAACAUGGAAAAUCUUUUGGAUGGCCUGAAUUCAAUGGAUAUUCAGCCAGUUGUGGUAUUGGGAGACUUCAACGAGGACCUCCUCUCUCCGGGGAAAAAAGCAAUCAAGGAGUUGUUUGGAAGCAAAGGAUUUACUCAACUCAUCUCGGAUCCAACAACGGAAAGGCAGACUCUCAUUGACCACAUUUACAUUUCUCAGCCAGAAUAUUGUGUUCAGUCAGGUGUGUUGCAGACUUAUUACAGUUACCACAACCCUGUAUAUUGCAUUUUGGCUUCAUUUUCAGCUGCAUCUUCACCAUGACUUGAGAGGAGGGCUGGGAAACAAAUUACACUAGGACAAUAGUCCUGUCAUUUUUAAUGGUACUCCAUCUUAGGUAAAAACACCAAAGUGAGAACAAAUAAUCAGAAUCAAAUGUCCUCAAUGAUUCGCUUGGAUACUGGAAAUCCAGUUGAUGUAUUUAAAGGGUAAUAAGAAUAACGGUGUCGGCUGACGGCCUGUACAGGUCCAGUAACGGCUGUAAGCUUAUUGCUCAUGAAUACUUCAACUUGAGAUGACCACAGUACUCCAUUUGAGGCACCGAGUGGUCACCUAGGAUACACCUGGGAUAUUGUAAGAAAGUGAAUGUAUUUAACAGGUAAUAAGAAUAGCGGUGUCGGCUGACGGCCUGUACAGGUCCAGUAACGGCUGUGAAGCUUAUUACUCUUGAAUACAGCUACUUCAGACGACCACUGAACUAAUUUGGAGACCAGUGCAUUUUUGAAACAUUUUAUUUAACUCCCCUAGAGAACCUGCUAGAGCUCUCUAGUAUUCUUUUUAUUUUCCUUUUUUGGUUUUCUUUCUGAUCAUGAGCCAAUGCUCCAGUCUGAUGGAGCAGUUUUUUCCACACUAUGGACAUUCUCCACUCCGCUCGGUUUGCUUGGCCAUUAUGUUAAUUUGCUUUGAGUGGAAAGAACCGUUUUUUGCCCAGUUUUAGUAAGUUUUUGCAGGCUUGAGAGCAUGCAACGCACGGCAUGACUCAUGAGGGUUCCAAGAAGAGAUGGAGGAAGCUGGACCUGGUCGAUUUGCAGAGCGGCCCAUCAUACGUCACCAAGCGCAGGACACCCCAACCCACCUGGCAGCCUUGAUCUUCCAAGCAGUCUACGGAGAAAAAGAUAUGGCUUUCAUUUUGCUUUUCAUUAACUGAGCUUAGGAUAAGUUAUUUUCUGUGCUUUUCUCAUUGAAGUAAUUUGUGUCUCUUUAUGUCAAGGUUUCUGGACUCCGUGCCCCAUGACCAGGUAUGUCCACGACAUGUUCAGGGUAAUUUGCAACAACACAAUGAAGUUGUGAUUGUACAUUUUUCUCAAAACUUACUGCAGUUGCAACAUAGACCCCUCCUGGGUCACCUACGUAGUUAGAAAUCUGCAUGUUCAUGAUUUUAAAUGAUGAUGAUUUUUCUUAAGGCUUGAAAGUUUUAUCUUGAUGUCUGUGUUUCUUUCAACAUGCCGUGGGACGGGUCAUCGCCAUCAACAACUUGACCAACAGCUGGAGCGUCAACGAGGCGGGAGCAAACAUCAAGCAUUUGCGGCACACAGUCUGCAACCUCUGGACUUAUGUGGCUAUUUUGAACUUUCCUCCACUUCUCACCAUGAAGGCUCUGAUGUGAAGCAGCAGAUCACAUCCCAACAGGAAACUAAAGUGUCUCAAGUCAAAGAGCUU